UUUUAUAUUCCAAAUUUGCAAACUGCAUACCAAAUUUACAGUUUCAAAUUGCAAAUUAAUCUUUAUAAUGCCAUUAAAAAUUUGUAAUGUUAUACAAAACAUGCAGGAAUAUGUGUCAACUCAAGGAAGUCAGGUUUGCGCGGAUUUUGUGUUAGAUUACACCACUCAAUUCACAACUGAACAGGUAUUCAAAAGUAAGGAUGAAUUGCUCAGCUGGGUACGUGAAGUUGGAAAGAGAAAUGGUUUGGUCAUUGUAAUCAAAACAUCAGACUAUGGUGGAGG